GUUGGGAAAGCCGCAUUGAUAGUC
rnacentral:siRNA from 1 species